CCUAUAUUAUCUAACUUUGCUGUGUACUAUUAUCCAUACAUUAACAUUAGUUUGAAAGUCACAAUUUGAGUUCUAGACUGCAAAGAAGAUUUUCAACGAGGAAACAGUUGUAUAUUUGUAUCUUCUUGUACAUAUCAAAAACAAGACAGCGGUGGCAUGUCAAAUAAGUUCUUAGAUGAAAGCCAAAGAAAUGUUUGGAAGAACAAGUCUCUUAAAAAUAAGAAGUGUAUUGAAUCCGUUGAAAAUAAGUAAAACUGAUUAUUGAAGUGUGUGCUCAACAAAUCAAAUUGUGUCUCUGCGAUUAUUAGUACUUCAGGUGUUUUCUUCAUUUUCUAUUUCAGUACAUUGGAAUGGGUGGAAACGCCUCCUGAACAGGAGAUUAAUAAUGCAGUUGUUAUGUUAACUAGAAGAUUUCUGAUUUUAGUUUCCUAGCAGUUAGUAAAAAUGAAAAUACACAUUUUGCUCAUUUAGAUCUUAGGUGCUGAUCUUCCAGAUGGAUAUUCUCUGUUGGGCAGUUUCAAUUGUCAAUAUGUCUGUACUUGAAGACUUAUAACUAUAGCCUCUUAAUUACAUCUUUUUUGUGGAUGGAUAAUUUACCCAAGAGAUUAAGAGGAAAAGGGACAGAAGCAGACGUGUUAUUUUUGCGAAGAUGCAAAGGAAGGAAAAAUAGGUUAAUUUGCUUGAAGAAAAAAGAAAAAGGAAAUGAAGUGGAACCAACAUAUAUACGGAGGAGUUAUGGAUAAAUAGUUGGAUAUUUCCUUGUGAUUGUAGCCCUUGUUGACAUAUUGGUUAGGUUACUAAAAUUAGAUUAGCAGGUUCCGGUGCUUUGAUCUGUCCUCAUGCACUCUGAACUUUGAAAUACUUUUAGGAUUCCUUUUUUAGCACUAAUUUCGAGUCUCUUUGUUAGCACUAUUUUCGACUGUGGGGAUUAUCUGAUUACUAUUGUCUUUUAUCAGGUUGAACAAGCAUGGUUACCAUGAUUCAUCAAGAUUCUCGCAAUCAUACAAAAACUUAUAAAGUCAAGCUGUGCAUACUUUGGCUAAUAUUGCAUUAUGAAUGAACAAGUUAAAAUAAUACAACUAAAAUACUAGAAUCAAAGUGACAUAAAAUAUUAUAAGCUAAAGCGAAUAUCUCUUGUCACUUCAAGAAGUAAUUAAUUUGUAGACAUGAGUAGUGAUUAAAAAGACAAUGGUCAUUAUGUUUUGAUAAGUAAUUUAUAUGAUAAGAUUUUAACCAUAGCAUGUAUUUUUUUUAUGAUAAGUUGGUUUUAGCUAAACUUUAUAGCAUCGACUUGUAGCACAUACAUGAUGACUGUGUAAUAAAAUGGGACAAAGUAAAUUUAAGCAAUGAAUUGCAAUCUUUUAUUCUUGUGCUCCUAAUAUUUCGUAGGAUAAAGUUUUUAGAAAAUUUAAGGCUAUGAUGUUGCUGUAGAUGAUUUAACAUAAAUCACAAUUGUUGAAGACACAAUUUUAAUAUAUAAAAGUGUACUUUCUCUGGGGUUGCAUCAAGGAUCAACUCUUAGUCCGUUUUUAUUUGCCUUGGUGAUGGAUGGAUUGAUGUGGCAAAUUCAAGGUGAGGUGCCAUGGUGUAUGCUUUUCGCGGAUGACAUAGUCCUGAUCGACGAGACUCGUAGCGGAGUUAACGCUAAGCUAGAGGGUUGGAGACAUACUCUGGAGUCUAAAGGGUUUAAGCUGAGUAGGACCAAGACAGAGUACUUAGAGUGUAAGUUUAGUGAAGCACCUCAGGAGGCUGGCUUGGAAGUGAGGCUUGGUACCCAGGCCGUCCAGAAGAAAAGUAGUUUCAAGUAUCUUGGGUCUAUUAUGCAAGGCAGCGGGGAGAUUGACGAUGAUGUCACACAUCGUAUUGGGGCAGGGUGGAUGAAAUAGAGGCUUGCUUCCGGAGUGCUAUGUAAUAAGAAGAUGCCACCACAACUUAAGGGCAAGUUCUACAAAGUGGUGGUUAGACCGACUAUGUUGUAUAGGGCGGAGUGUUGGCCAGUUAAGAUAUCUCACAUUCAAAAGAUGAAUGUUGCCGAGAUGAGAAUGUUGAGAUGGAUGUGUGGCCACACCAGGAGUGACAGGAUUAGGAAUGAGGAUAUUCGGGACAAGGUGAGAGUGGCCUCGGUGGAAGACAAGAUGCGAGAAGCGAGAUUGAGAUGGUUUGGGCAUGUGAAGAGGAGAGACACAGAUGCCCCAGUGCGGAGGUGUGAGAGGUUUGCCAUGGAUGGUUUCAGGCGAGGUAGGGGUAGGCCGAAAAAGUAUUGGGGAGAGGUAAUUAGACACGACAUGACGCAGUUACAGCUUACCGAGGACAUGAUCUUAGAUAGGAGGGUUUGGAGGACCCAGAUUAGGGUAGAAUGUUAGUAUAUAGUUUCGUUAUCCUGUCUUGUUAGUAGUCGCAUUAUCGCAGUAUAAUUUCUUGUGCUCUAAUUUCUGCUAUUAUCUGUUAUUUUCUGUGCUUUGAUUAUCCUAUGUUAUCUGUGUCGCUUGCGUUAUUUCAUUUCCAUAUCUAGACCCCACGUUGUGGGAUUUCACUGGGUUGUUGUUGUUGUUGUUGUAAAAGUGUACUUUCUCUAAUUGCUUAAGCUUUUAGAUGAGAUGGUCACACACUUCAACAUGGCAUUAAAGCGGACAGAGGUCCAGGAUUCGAGUCUUACUGUCACCCAUAAUUAAAAAAAAAUUCAUGUGCUCGGAGCCCAUAUGUGAAGGGGUGUGUCGAAGAUAUAACUUAAGUAAAUAAAGUUGUGCUAUCUCUAGCGACUUAAUCUUUUAGAUGACAUGGUCACACACUUCAACAACAAUUAGUAGUUUAAUCUUUCCUUCUGUCAAUUGUGUUUACAAUUUUCAUGAUAGAAGUGAGGCUUGCAUGUGAGCUGAUACAUUCGGAAAGCAUUUAAUUGAAAUGGCAUAGAAGGACUUCAAUGUUAGAAAUGAGGUGUGAUGGGAAGAGAGCAACAUUGAGCACGGAACCUGACUACUACAUGUAACAUAUAACUCCUAAAAGCUCUUUCUAUAGGUAGUAUAUAAAUGUGACAACGGAGGGGUGGUCUAAUGGUAAGGACCCUCCACCUUCCAAGAUAACAUGAGGUUUGAGUCACUGAUGGAGCAAUGUGAGAAAAAGAGCUGCUAUUGGGCUGUUGUGUAUGGGGUUUAGUUGGGGUGGUGGUGCUGGUAAGUUUACCAUAUCAAAGAAAUAGUACUAUGAAGAAAAAAGAAAAGAAAUGGGGCUACCUCGGUUCAUUUUAAAUGUCGUUUUCGCCUUUCAAAUUUGCUACUUAAGUGUCACUUUGGGUAGUCAAGAAGGCUUAAUUGUUUUUUUUCCAAAUCUACCCUUGCUCCAAUAAAUGAUCUAACAAGUUUGUGGAAAGAUAACGGGUAAUUUGAAGAGAUAUAAAGGGUAACUUAGUCAAGUAACCCAUAUAAUAAAUGUUAUUAAAUGGUUUUCUUAAUGUUUGUGCCAAGAGCUUAAAUGACAUUUAAAUAGGAUUUAAGGUAGUAGUAUAUAAAUGUCUAAUGUUCCCGAUCUUUUUCGGUUAAGAGGGACGUCUGAUAUUGAUUAAAUUGUUUUUUACUAGACUAAUAUUGUCAACUGAUUCUUAAAUUAGGAGGGGACUCCUUUCAGGAUUAGGGAGCACACUAGGUAGUAUAUGGUUGAAAAUAUUCGUUCCACCAUUUAUCUUUUUUUUUUUUUUUUUUUUUUUUUUUUGAAAAAAAUUAUCUCUCCCGCCAAUUCUACUUCCUUUUUCGGCGAGAUAAUUAAUUUUGUAUAUUGAUCAUCCUAAGUUUCAAACAAAACUAAACAAAGGUACAAACCAAAAGUAGCCUUUUUCAGUUGUAUGACGCUUGGAGAUAUGCUUAUCCAGUCCCAUGAAUCGAUAACCAUUGUUUCCUUAUAUUUUCAGCUAUCAUCAUUUACAUUGCUCUGCCACUGUUCAAAAGAAUGACAGGGAUUUUAACGUUCUCAGUUUUUCCGACGUCCCAUUUUCAUUUUCUAAGGACUUUGGUUGCUUUUCUUUGAGCCGAGGGUCUAUCAGAAACAACCUCUCUACCUUCCAAGGUAGGGAAGAAGAUUCAAUAGCAGCAGCAUCUUAGAGAACAAUUUUGACAUACCCUUGAUGUAGUAUCCAUAUGAGGAACAUUCAUUGAGGAAGAGGCAUUAUCUUCUUCCAUUGGAGAUAGAGCUGUUGAGCGUUCUGUAGCAGUAGUUGGUGAUACAAGCAGCACAGCUCCAAGACCAAUCUCAUUUGGAGGAAUGUUUCUGGUCUUUCCAUAAAUUAUAAUAUUGUCAUCAUCAGCAAAUAUAUUUUCAGAGCCCGGUUCCUGUAGAAUGUUAAAAAGUUGCCUCUGGAGUCUUUCCACAGGUGACAAAAUGUGUUGUCUAAGCUCUGAUCUCUUUCUUCUUGGGACAUUGUCGGGAUUCCAGAGAGGAUAUUUGUCUGCUUCUCCUAACAAAAGGUGAACGUUAGUGCACAUAAAACAAUAAGCUUGAUAUGUUAUUCAUUGCCUUGUCAAGACAAGCUGAAGAGCCAUUCUGUCCAGCAACCUCUACUCCAACUUCUAGCUUUUGGUCAUCACGAGCUAAGAGACGCGGCUUCAUCUCAGAAGGUGAAAGUUGAAGUCCAUACAGGUGGCUGCGUAUCUGAUAAUUGGAUAGAUUUCCAAUUUGGCGAGAGUUUCCUUGCUAUUGAGAUGCAGCAACGACACUUAUUUUUUCUAUCUUACCAUCUUGCACAUUUAUCUGUCGCCAUUGACCCAAUUUCGUGUAUCUAGGGAAUGGUUUUUCCUUUAUGUCAUGCUUACUGACCAAAUAACAACCACUAUUGUCAAGCAAAUUGGGGCGACUCCAUGGAUCUUCAUUAUCUGGCUUCAUUUAAGCUCUUCUCAUCAUGCUUACUGAUGUAAAAAUACUUGUUUCGUAUUUAGGAUUACUAACAUAUUACACAUGCAUAUUUAUAGAAUAUCACUGGCUUUGUGUA